rnacentral:misc_RNA from 1 species
GAUGAAGAACGUAGCGAAAUGCGAUAAGUAAUGUGAAUUGCAGAAUUAAGUGAAUCAUCGAAUCUUUGAACGCACCUUGCGCCCUUUGGCCAUUCCGAAGGGCAUGCCUGUUUGAGUAUCAUGAACACCUCAACUCUCAUGGCUUGCCAUGAUGAGCUUGGACUUUGGGGGUCUUGCUGGCCUGUGGUCGGCUCCUCUCAAAUGAAUCAGCUUGCCAGUGUUUGGUGGCAUCACAAGUGUGAUAACUAUCUGCGCUCGUGGUUUCCAUCAGAUAACCUCCAGUGAUGGAGGUUCGCUGGAGCUCAUAAAUGUCUCUCCUAAGCGAGGACAGCUCUUUUAAUGUUUGAUCUCAAAUCAGGUAGGACUACCCGCUGAACUUAAGCAUAUCAAUAAGCGGAGGA